rnacentral:ncRNA from 2 species
CGGGAGAAGCGGGGGUGCCCGGCGUUGCCGGGCUGAGAGAGUCCCUUGGAACCUGAUCCGGUUUGCACCGGCGUAGGGAGCUUGAUUCGAACAGCC